CUCUGGGAUGUUACCAAGGAACACUCCCGAGGGUAAGGUCCUCUGGGAUGUUACCAAGGAACACUCCUGAGGGUAAGGUCCUCUGGGAUGUUACCAAGGAACACUCCUGAGGGUAAGGUCUUUAAAGAUGGCCACAUUGACUCUCAUUUCCCCAUCUUCUAAUGGAAGGUCAAGAGAACGUGGCCCCAAUUCUUCUAGCCAGGUGUUCUUUUGAUUAGCUGCUGACAGCAAGCAACCAAUCAAUCCCGGCCCUCUAAGAGGUGUCCAUCACACCACAGGUGGAGCAAGGCACCAUGGGUAGGCCAAUGAUGCGGACUGCUGUGAACUGACAUGGCGAUGAUGAGGAUGGGCACUUAACUGCACACCAGAGAGUUAACAAGAACACGUAUUGCUAAGAAGGG
rnacentral:lncRNA from 1 species